AGCAGCCGCGGUAAUUCCAGCUCCAAUAGCGUAUAUUAAAGUUGUUGCAGUUAAAAAGCUCGUAGUUGAAUUUCGGGGCCAGUAGGUCGGUCGUGCCACUGGUAUGAACUGGUCUCACUGGUCCCUCCCUCUUGAAGAACCGUGAUGCCAUUAAUUUGGUGUUGCGGGGAAACAGGACUGUUACUUUGAAAAAAUUAGAGUGCUUAAAGCAGGCUUACGCUUGAAUACAUUAGCAUGGAAUAACGAAAUAGGACGAUCGAUUCUAUUUUGUUGGUUUCUAGGGUCGACGUAAUGAUUAAUAGGGAUAGUUGGGGGCAUUAGUAUUCAAUUGUCCGAGGUGAAAUUCUUGGAUUUAUUGAAGACUAACUACUGCGAAAGCAUUUGCCAGGGAUGUUUUCAUUAAUCAAGAACGAAAGUUAGGGGAUCGAAGACGAUCAGAUACCGUCGUAG
rnacentral:rRNA from 1 species